rnacentral:misc_RNA from 1 species
GGCCGACAGUCCGGGUCAACAACAACACAAAGGAAACGCGUAGGAACUGGAAAAAAAAAGUAACAGCAAGAAAAAGAGACUACACGGCACAUCACAGGACAGGAGAGGCGUUCUCGAUUUCAUACGUGUUGCCUAGAGUCACCGGCGAGCCGAGGCUUUUGCACUGAUCCCAAGUCCUGUGUGACGCUUAUCUUGGUGACGUGCUUGAUCAAGGCCUCGCAUCCUUCUGUGUGUGUGUGCGUGCGUGCGUGCAGAACGAGUUGAAGAGGAGACGCACCUUUUUUUUUUUGCAAAUCAGAGCGUCUUGCAUUCCCCUGAUCAGCAGCUCGACACCCGCACUGCAGCUGCUGCAGUGGCCGCUCUUCCUGCACCUGUUCCCUAGAUUCGCGUAACUAAUUCCACGGACGCGGUGGCAAACCGACCGCUGUCCUUCACUCCGCUCGCGCACCUCUCUCUUCUCUCUCCGUCGCUUCGUCCUAUUCCAUAGACGUAAUUCAAUCAUUCGUGUAGGUGCUACGUUUUUUUGUGUGUGCUCCUUUGCGUGAGUGCUCCCAUUGACGUGGGCUCGAGCCAUCUGGCAGUGCACCGGGGCAUGCGUACGCAAGCCCAAGUUAGGUUUCAACUUGGUGCAUAAUGGCGACCACAUCGUCCUCCACGGCGAGCGAGACUGCCGUGCGCACGGCGUGGUUCGACGCAAUCGAUGCGACAGCCGCCAUGACAAGUACGGAGCCGCUGCAGCCCGCGGCGGAGUACACAGCCGACUCCUACCUGCCCCCCCUCUCUCUGGCCGGAGACCAGGCGGACUUCUUUGCGCAGCUCCGCGACCUCGACAGAGGAUUUGCCGAGGCUGCCCCGUCGCUGUUCCUUCCACAAAUGACGUUAGAGGAGGCUUGCCACGCAAAACCGAGCUUCUACCAAACCUUCCGCGGUGAGCGGGAGAUCACGGAGACGACGUUUCAGCCACUGCCACUGAAGCAGCGCGAUGAGGCCGGACAAGAGGCCGAUGGAUCGGCGGUGAAUGGCCGCCACGGUUCUCGCAGGCGUCGGCAGGAGGCGCCGGCGCAGUCACGCGGCACAGCCCCGCUUUAUGGUGGCUUUCUAGGUCAAGAGGCGAUGUCACCGAGCACGGCGGUUCAGCGAAAGCCAGACUUCAUGCCAAUCAUCCUCGUUCCCUCCGCUGCCACGGCUCCUCUGCAGCUCAUGAAUAUCAAGCAGUUCCUGGAGCACGGCGCCUACGUCGAUCCCGCUACCUUGUACGUUGAUCUCGAGACCGGCAUCGUCAACAUUCGCGACUCCAAGCCGCGCUCGGUGAUAGUGAAGCCUGGCAGCUUCCACGACCCACACAAGUACCACGUUGCCUUUCGCCAGUUUCGCGUCGUCGACGACCCGGACGAGGUGGACGAUUGGUCGCAGGUGUGUGGUUGCAUUGUAGAGGGCAAGCUGUGGCAGCUGAAAGGCUGGUACCCACACGAGCAGCCACAGUCGCGGCACCCGAGCCGCCUCUUUUCGCGCAUUCGGGCCUUCUUAGCGUACUUCGAAGAGGACAAGGUGCCUCCGCAGUGCCGUGAGUGGAAUGUGCAGAGUCUUGCCUUGACGCGUAACCUGCUGAAGGACCAGGUGCACAUCGCACUUGCCUCGCAGUUCUGGGAACAGCUCUAUACCUUUCUAGAUGAGCACCCGAUGUUCUCCCGGUACACGAUCCCACUCACAGACGAGCGCCUGUAGUGUCAAACCGGGUGGUGUUCGUGUGACCGUGUGCAUGCGUGCAUGUGUGUGGGUGGCGUGGGCGACGGUAUCGGCGUUUAUUUAUUUGUAUCCGUUGCCGCGCGGAGACACGACAGGAAGGGAAUGACAAGACGAUGUCGUGUGGGUGCACCCGCCUACACUCUUUGUGCUGGCCCAUGGGCGUGUUUGCUGUACGCUUCUCUCUUCGUUUUUGGUUCUUUUGGCUGGCUCCCGCUCGCUGCCUCCAUCCCCCUUCUCUCAUGUUUCUCGUGUAGCGCCGGCUAGAGGGAAGGGGGUGGCUCGAAGGCGGCGACGGCAGGCCGCUGGCAGGACAGAAAGGGAGAGAGCGUGACUUCUCCUGCUGGGUGCCUGCGUAUGUAGAGGGGGCGGCGGUGGAUGCGCUCGUGUAAUACGGCACCUCGUUUUUGCUUGUCUCAGUUGUCUUGGCCAUUGCCACGAGGGUUCGACCAGAGAGAGCGUGUGUGUGGGGGGGGGGCAAACCAUAUUGAGCCCAAAGGGUCCACCGGAAACGGAAGGACACCACCACCAAGCACAGCUAAGCGCAUGCACACAGACAGAAAGAGUAAACGAACAACAAAAAAUAACUGAGAAUCGCCAACGAUCGAGAACCUUAAUCGUAUGCUGCCUUCUACUCUCCUCCACCCGCCCAUCCACCACCACCCCUCUCCCCCUCAUGAGCGCCUUACAUUUCUUUUCGGUGCACCUUGCUCGCCACAUCUUUUUCAUGUUUUUUUUUUCUCUUGUGAUCAGAAUAAGCAAGAAGGUAAGCGAUAGGCAGAGGGGAGGUUGGGAGCGAGGACGGCGGCCAUAUAUGAAAGCGGAUGGGAAGCGAACGCAGCCAAAAAGAAAAAAACAGAUUGGGCAGCAGACGCGACGGACACACUCCCUCUAUGUCUCUUGUUUAUCUCUGUAUUCCACAGGCCGUUUUCCCUUUUUCCUCAUUUGCCUCUUCUCCUCUCUUUCUCUAUCCCCAUUACCACAGUUUUCACGCUGUGUGUGUGUGUGUGUGUCUUGGUGGGCACGUUCGCGUUUCUCAUUGCUGCGCUGCGCCUUUGAUGACCAUCUCUACUGUCUUUUUUUUUGUGUGUUGUUUGGUGUUCGUUCUUUGGCACCGCCCUUUGCAGGCUCUGAUUUCUUCGACUCUUUCUGUGGGCGUAGUGCGCUCGCAGGCGCACAUGUGCGCGCGUAUGCAUCUGCUCUCUCUCUCUCUUUGCGAGUCUUCACGAAACUCUCGUCAGUGUAGCAGCGGCCCCGCCGAACUUUUUCGUCGUGGGAUUUCACUGCAGUACUUUGAUUGCCAGCGCAUGCACAUCGUCAGGAUCGAAAGGAAACGCGCACCAAAUGCGUGAGGAAGACGGUUGGCGGCACUCAUGGUGAUGAAGAAGUGACGUUCUGUGUCUGUUUUUUUUUCGGCGUAUGCGUGCAACGCCGGUGAGGAGGUGUGAUGUCGCCCCCGUUGAAGAUUGCAUGAUUUGUCUUGCUUCAUUGGUUUGAGUGUGUCGGGUGAGCGGAUUCUGCGCUAGGUUUUCUCCUUUCCCCCUUGAAGCCCCUCCCUCCCCACUAUCGCAGUGAUGCCGUUCAUAGUGCGCUUGGUGUAGUAGGUUUUCGCUGUGUGACCCAUUGUGAAGCGCGUGUCUAUGCGCGUGUGAGCCCGCAGCUGUCUGCUCCACUCUGAACGAGCGACCGUAAAAGCAAGUAUGCAUACCGUUUUUUUUUUUUCGCUCCUGAACACGAAGGUUUCGGCGAAGAAAUGCAAGAAAAGGUGAUGUGCCAUCCCAAUCGAGGACGGCGGGCUCAGCAAGGCGGAUUAC